rnacentral:rRNA from 1 species
UUAAGUUAUUAAGGGCGCACGGUGGAUGCCUUGGCACUAGAAGCCGAUGAAGGACGUUACUAACGACGAUAUGCUUUGGGGAGCUGUAAGUAAGCUUUGAUCCAGAGAUUUCCGAAUGGGGAAACCCAGCAUGAGUUAUGUCAUGUUAUCGAUAUGUGAAUACAUAGCAUAUCAGAAGGCACACCCGGAGAACUGAAACAUCUUAGUACCCGGAGGAAGAGAAAGAAAAUUCGAUUCCCUUAGUAGCGGCGAGCGAAAGGGGAAGAGCCCAAACCAACAAGCUUGCUUGUUGGGGUUGUAGGACACUCUAUACGGAGUUACAAAGGACGACAUUAGACGAAUCAUCUGGAAAGAUGAAUCAAAGAAGGUAAUAAUCCUGUAGUCGAAAAUGUUGUCUCUCUUGAGUGGAUCCUGAGUACGACGGAGCACGUGAAAUUCCGUCGGAAUCUGGGAGGACCAUCUCCUAAGGCUAAAUACUCUCUAGUGACCGAUAGCGAACCAGUACCGUGAGGGAAAGGUGAAAAGCACCCCGGAAGGGGAGUGAAAUAGAACCUGAAACCGUGUGCUUACAAGUAGUCAGAGCCCGUUAAUGGGUGAUGGCGUGCCUUUUGUAGAAUGAACCGGCGAGUUACGAUUUGAUGCAAGGUUAAGCAGUAAAUGUGGAGCCGUAGCGAAAGCGAGUCUGAAUAGGGCGUUUAGUAUUUGGUCGUAGACCCGAAACCAGGUGAUCUACCCUUGGUCAGGUUGAAGUUCAGGUAACACUGAAUGGAGGACCGAACCGACUUACGUUGAAAAGUGAGCGGAUGAACUGAGGGUAGCGGAGAAAUUCCAAUCGAACCUGGAGAUAGCUGGUUCUCUCCGAAAUAGCUUUAGGGCUAGCCUCAAGUGAUGAUUAUUGGAGGUAGAGCACUGUUUGGACGAGGGGCCCCUCUCGGGUUACCGAAUUCAGACAAACUCCGAAUGCCAAUUAAUUUAACUUGGGAGUCAGAACAUGGGUGAUAAGGUCCGUGUUCGAAAGGGAAACAGCCCAGACCACCAGCUAAGGUCCCAAAAUAUAUGUUAAGUGGAAAAGGAUGUGGCGUUGCCCAGACAACUAGGAUGUUGGCUUAGAAGCAGCCAUCAUUUAAAGAGUGCGUAAUAGCUCACUAGUCGAGUGACACUGCGCCGAAAAUGUACCGGGGCUAAACAUAUUACCGAAGCUGUGGAUUGUCCUUUGGACAAUGGUAGGAGAGCGUUCUAAGGGCGUUGAAGCAUGAUCGUAAGGACAUGUGGAGCGCUUAGAAGUGAGAAUGCCGGUGUGAGUAGCGAAAGACGGGUGAGAAUCCCGUCCACCGAUUGACUAAGGUUUCCAGAGGAAGGCUCGUCCGCUCUGGGUUAGUCGGGUCCUAAGCUGAGGCCGACAGGCGUAGGCGAUGGAUAACAGGUUGAUAUUCCUGUACCACCUAUAAUCGUUUUAAUCGAUGGGGGGACGCAGUAGGAUAGGCGAAGCGUGCGAUUGGAUUGCACGUCUAAGCAGUAAGGCUGAGUAUUAGGCAAAUCCGGUACUCAUUAAGGCUGAGCUGUGAUGGGGAGAAGACAUUGUGUCUUCGAGUCGUUGAUUUCACACUGCCGAGAAAAGCCUCUAGAUAGAAAAUAGGUGCCCGUACCGCAAACCGACACAGGUAGUCAAGAUGAGAAUUCUAAGGUGAGCGAGCGAACUCUCGUUAAGGAACUCGGCAAAAUGACCCCGUAACUUCGGGAGAAGGGGUGCUCUUUAGGGUUAACGCCCAGAAGAGCCGCAGUGAAUAGGCCCAAGCGACUGUUUAUCAAAAACACAGGUCUCUGCUAAACCGUAAGGUGAUGUAUAGGGGCUGACGCCUGCCCGGUGCUGGAAGGUUAAGAGGAGUGGUUAGCUUCUGCGAAGCUACGAAUCGAAGCCCCAGUAAACGGCGGCCGUAACUAUAACGGUCCUAAGGUAGCGAAAUUCCUUGUCGGGUAAGUUCCGACCCGCACGAAAGGCGUAACGAUUUGGGCACUGUCUCAACGAGAGACUCGGUGAAAUCAUAGUACCUGUGAAGAUGCAGGUUACCCGCGACAGGACGGAAAGACCCCGUGGAGCUUUACUGUAGCCUGAUAUUGAAAUUCGGCACAGCUUGUACAGGAUAGGUAGGAGCCUUUGAAACGUGAGCGCUAGCUUACGUGGAGGCGCUGGUGGGAUACUACCCUAGCUGUGUUGGCUUUCUAACCCGCACCACUUAUCGUGGUGGGAGACAGUGUCAGGCGGGCAGUUUGACUGGGGCGGUCGCCUCCUAAAAGGUAACGGAGGCGCUCAAAGGUUCCCUCAGAAUGGUUGGAAAUCAUUCAUAGAGUGUAAAGGCAUAAGGGAGCUUGACUGCGAGACCUACAAGUCGAGCAGGGUCGAAAGACGGACUUAGUGAUCCGGUGGUUCCGCAUGGAAGGGCCAUCGCUCAACGGAUAAAAGCUACCCCGGGGAUAACAGGCUUAUCUCCCCCAAGAGUUCACAUCGACGGGGAGGUUUGGCACCUCGAUGUCGGCUCAUCGCAUCCUGGGGCUGUAGUCGGUCCCAAGGGUUGGGCUGUUCGCCCAUUAAAGCGGUACGCGAGCUGGGUUCAGAACGUCGUGAGACAGUUCGGUCCCUAUCCGUCGUGGGCGUAGGAAAUUUGAGAGGAGCUGUCCUUAGUACGAGAGGACCGGGAUGGACAUACCUCUGGUGUACCAGUUGUCGUGCCAACGGCAUAGCUGGGUAGCUAUGUGUGGACGGGAUAAGUGCUGAAAGCAUCUAAGCAUGAAGCCCCCCUCAAGAUGAGAUUUCCCAACUUCGGUUAUAAGAUCCCUCAAAGAUGAUGAGGUUAAUAGGUUCGAGGUGGAAGCAUGGUGACAUGUGGAGCUGACGAAUACUAAUCGAUCGAAGACUUAAUCAA